rnacentral:rRNA from 1 species
UGAUGAUUAUUGGUCAAUGGACGGAAGUCUGAACCAGCCAAGUAGCGUGCAGGAUGACGGUCCUAUGGGUUGUAAACUGCUUUUAUACGGGGAUAAAGUUAGGGACGUGUCCCUAUUUGCAGGUACCGUAUGAAUAAGGACCGGCUAAUUCCGUGCCAGCAGCCGCGGUAAUACGGAAGGUCCGGGCGUCAUCCGGAUUUAUUGGGUUUAAAGGGAGCGUAGGCCGUAGAUUAAGUGUGUUGUGAAAUGUAGACGCUCAACGUCUGACUUGCAGCGCAUACUGGUUUACUUGAGUUUGCACAACGUUGGCAGAAUUCGUCGUGUGGCGGUGAGAUGCUUAGAUAUAUCGAAGAACUCCGAUUGCGAAGGCAGCUUGCGGGAGCAAAACUGACGCUGAAGCUCGAAAGUGCGGGUAUCGAACAGG